rnacentral:misc_RNA from 1 species
GAUGAAGAACGCAGCGAAAUGCGAUACGUAAUGUGAAUUGCAGAAUUCAGUGAAUCAUCGAAUCUUUGAACGCAUAUUGCGCUCUCUGGUAUUCCGGAGAGCAUGCUUGUUUGAGUAUCAGUAAACACCUCAACUUCCAUAUCUUUUUUUGAAAUGGGAGUUGGACUUGAGUGAUCCCAACGCUUUUCCUCACCGAAAAGUGGCGGGUUACUUGAAAUGCAGGUGCAGCUGGACUUUUCUCUGAGCUAUAAGCAUAUCUAUUUAGUCUGCCUAAAAAACAGAUUAUUACCUUUGCUGCAGCUAACAUAAAGGAGACUAGUUCUUGUGCUGACUGAUGCAGGAUUCACAGAGACAGCUUCGGCUGACUUUGUAAACUCGAUCUCAAAUCAAGUAAGACUACCCGCUGAACUUAAGCAUAUCAAUAAGCGGAGGA